GGCCAAGGCUUAGUUAUCUGCCUGUCUAAAGAUUGUUCUGCUAGUAAGGGUAAAUAAUAGUGACUGAGCUUCUGUCGUACACUAGGCAUUUAAAGCUGGAUUUAGACCUAUGCGUUAAGGUGAUGUGCAUAGAAGACCUUGAAAGGAAUCAGAAUGUGAGGACUCCACUUUAAGAGAUGGAAUAUUUUAUAUUUUAUUGAAAUUAUUUUCCUGCGACUAUCAAAAUAGUGCCGCUACUACAUAGAUUGAACAAGAAAAUUUUAAAAACUAAUACCGUAUGACUUUCGGGGUAAACUAAUAAAGAAAUAUUUCAAAGUUUAGAGAAAUCGUUUUGCUUCAAAAAUCUUUCAUACCUUUAUAAUAAUGGAAAGCAGCUAGAUUUAAGAAUCAUUAAUCUCUUCUCUGAGAAAAAAAUGUGUUCAACAGUGUUAGACACUGUUCAACAGACGGUAUCCGAUGCUUACUUUUCUUCAAAAGAUUAUAUCGAUAUUUAUUUCAUGCCUAGAACUAAAUUCAGAAAAUAUUUUUGAUAAAAAUUUUUAAUAAAAAGUAGAAUGUAAAAUUGUUGACAAAUAUAAAUAUGUAAUCAUAAAAGUAAUAAAAUACAUUUAUAAAGAAAAUUCUGUACACAUUCUGUACCUAUGUAGUCGCAUUCUCAAAGUUCUCAAGCUGUAUAUAUAAUCAUACGCAAACCCAUGCAUAGAACAUCGAAUAAAAGAGUCCCAUUCUUUCACAAGGAGAAAUAUUGUGUGAAAAACUAGAAGAUUGACAAUGGGAAUACUUCAUCUGAGAGAAUCCUAAGCUAAGAUUCAAAAAUUGCCUGCCAACUGUACUCUAUCAUCGCUCAAUGCAUAGUCAAAAUAUGGUCUAUAAGUUCCGAUACAGUCUUCAAUUAUUAGGAAAAGAGAAUCAGUAAUUGUCCAUGAAAUCCUUAAUUAAAAUUCUAACAUUUCAUACCUGUAGAACUAGUAUUCAGUUAACGCUUUUCAUACAUGCAGAGUGGUUGGUAGACGACGACUUAAGACAAUAAUAUUCCGCAGCAAAAGCCUUCUUCUGAAAUUCAUAUUCAGUGAUAUUAAAACUUGCCAGAAUAAUGAUACAUUUCUUACUAUUUUUGAGAAAUAAGAAGUUAGCUAUUAAUACCCGGCGUUUUUAAGUAGAAAAAUGCUAUUUAACUAAAAAUAUAAAGAAAUAUAGCAUUUACUAUGUAUGUGCUAUCGUGAUGUAAAUAGUUAUCUCAUCCAGCAAGCAAGGAGAACAUCUGUGGUUCGAAUCACUGAAAGGACACAGUUGAUUCGCCACUUGUCUUGUUCCAGAAAACAAAUGACUUUACAAUGGUUCCCGAUAGUUAACGUUAAUUCGUCAACACCUGGAUUUGGUCAAUAGGGUGUAGAGCCUCCCACCAGUUGCCCUUUAAAUGCGGCAGAAUGCUCAAAAUUAUCGCAUUCGCCCCCCCCCCGUGCAUGCUGUCAUGACGCAUAAGUUUAUCAGGCCCAGUUACAAAAGGAAGAUCAAUAACUCAAAUCCUAACAGGAAUUCAGUUCAUUUUUCACGUUUCUUUCUCAGAAAAAUUAAUAGUAUGUGUUUUUACAAUAGCCAAAUUAUUAAUAGAGUGUUGCAAUUUGAGCGAAUACAAAUACAUACCAAGAAAAAAUGACGUGCUGAUACCACAGAGUGAAAAUUUAACAGUCAUAAUAGUCAGUAAUGAAUGAGUGAACAUUAGCUGUUAUAAAACUUGGUAAACCAAAGAAUUUUUAUUGAAUCAUCGAAUAGAUUUAAAAAUCGGUUUUACUCUUUAACGUGAUUGAAUGUACUUUUAAUCAUUUAGCUUAUGCGCAGAUGUAUAAUUCACUAGAGAUGAACUCAAAUAUUACUUCUGUUUGAUUUUGGGGGUUAUUGAACGUUACUUACGUUAAAUGAAAUGUAGUAGCUAACGAAAGAAAUGUUAGAGAUGUGACUGAGGCAUAAUCUUUAAUGGCUGCUUUCCUUGAGCUUUAUACAAUAGAUUACAGAGUAUAUCAACCCAUGAUAUAUGAGAAAAAGCAUAAAACGGAAAGUAGGGUGAUAGUUUGAGUGGUAUAAACUUAACAAUGAUAACUGCCUUGUUACAUCAUUGGGGUCUAGUUGGCAUUUCAUUUAUUUCGUUAGGCAUUUGACUAUGAGUCGGUGCAUUUCUUCAAAGCCGAUGCUAUCCAGAACACUCUGCUACGUUUCUUCCCCGUUCCUGUCUUCGACAGUUACGUUCCAUGUCAGGAUUCCGCUCAUCACAUCCCCGCACUACGCUGGAGAGAGCCACGACCACUGGCCACGUCAAUAACAAGGACGACACGUACUCUUAAUUUGUACAGGUACACUUCUUACCGACUUCAGCACUACGCAAAGGCAAGGUGGAAAGCAAAUAUCCCAACAACUUCAAAAUAUGCUCUACGAAGACCAUUAAUGGAAUCUUUGAUGUGAAAAUACCUGAGGCACUGCUUACAUAUGCACAGACGAGCUUGUCCAGACUCCAUAAACAUUAAGAACGAGCUUGUCCAGGACUUCAUGGCACUUCAUCAGAUUUGUUCAGUUUCAAAUUUGAAGUCAAAGCCUUCUGGAAUAAGAUAAUUAAAGGCUUUUCUUAUUUCGACAUCAGCCUUGCCAGUUUCUAUUUACCCUAGGGCUAUUCACCACAUAGGAUCGAAAAAUAUAGAUCAGACGUAAAAUUUAUGUGUUCAUAGCAAGGUUUCUAGAGUAUGAUUUAUUAACAUUGCACGAUGAUUAUAUCGAUGUAUACGAUUCAUCUCGUAAUGCUGAUUUUUAAGCAAAAGCAGCAAUGAAUGUUUAAAAUGCAGCUUUCAGUUACACUGAAGUAUGCAAGUCUCUAGUAAGAGUUAUUUUUCUUACUUGAACUCUGCUAACAGUUUUAGUGGGAAAAAGAAAGUUAUUUCUGAUGCAUGCAUGCCAUCCGGCAAAUCCAAGAAGUGUGAGAACAGAAGGCGAAAAAUAAAUAUCAUGCCAACUUUAGAAAGCCUUGCAACUAUGUCUAGGACCACUUUAAAUUCCCGUUCUAAUAAAAAAGAUCUAAUUUAAAAUAUAGCUGAAAAUGUAAUCCAGUUUUUUACGAUGGGUAAAGCACUAGUUAAAAUUGUCUAGUGCUGCUGAUUAGUCUACAUAGUGAUUAUAUAUCAAAAGUUAAAGUUAACGUGAUAAAUAUUAUCGAAAGAAGAAGAAUUUCGAAUUAAGACUUACUUAAUUCAAGUUAAUUAAUUUUUCAAUGUUGAUGUUCCAAAAUUUUUGCCAGACAUCUUUCUAUAUUUUAUUUUAAUGUUCAUAUUUUAUGUUUUUUAAUCUGAGCAAUAACUUGCUUAUAAGUUUUAAAUUAAAUAUAUAGUUCUAACUUAAAAAUAGGAUAGUAAAACUUAUGAAAAAAUUAACAUGAUUCAAGAUUAAGAUACUUUUAUUAUGUGUUUUAUUAUGCAGAUACACUAUAGAAACUCAGGCUCUUAUACUCAAUUAAACACUUUCUGAAUAUUUAAUUAACCGCUUUAAUUUGAAUUUCACUUGAGGUUUGAAGCAUUUUAGAUUAUGUGUACAGAAACUGAAACAAUCAGACGCAUGUAAUAAUAUCAAAAAUAGGCAAAGCUUUCAAUAGCUACUCGUAAUAAGACAAAAUAAGUCGUAUUUAAAGGAAAUCAGUAUAAAAAUUCUAGAACUAGUUAAAAGUAGUCAGAUAAGUGCAGAAAAUAAUUCGAAUUUUUUUUAUUGAUAAAACUUAAAUAACAACCACCUGCUAAAAUUAAGUAAACUACCUUUCGGAUUUCAACAAGAUUUCCUUUUUUUUUAAAGUGUAGAAGCUUUUAAAUUUUAUUCGAUUUCUAUAUCAUGUAUACUCUUUCUAAGGACGUUUUCAAAAUGUAGUUUUGGCAGUUUAAAUAAUAUAAUCCAGCUAAAUCAAUUUAGAACUUUCUUUGCCACAUUUCUUUUUUUUUUAACUCACCGUGAACAUUAUAAGAACAAAAAUAAUGCAUUAAUUAAUAAAAGACUGAAAACCUAUGUCUACCUUUCACUCAUUUCUUAAUUUUCUUUUAUCAUGAUGGAAUUCGAUCGGUAUGCUUUAUUGCAUUAAUGCUAACGGACUCAUGUACGCGUAUGAAGAGUCUGUAAGUUCUUUUUUUUUUUUUUCAAAUAAUAUCUGUAUUGUGGGCAGAUAUUUUUCAAUUAGGAGCUCCCGCUUAUCAGUAAAUUUUGAUACUUAAUGAUACGGAUAACCUCCAGACAAACAAAAUUAAACCUUGCGAAAUCCUUACUUCAAUGCCCGGCUUUUUUAUUUUUCGCACCGAAAAUCAGAUCAGUUUUAAGUAGCUUAUUUGAUAAAAUGCAAUCAGUCUGGCAUUAGCAUAUAUGAAUCAACACGUCAGCUUUUUAUAGAUAAAGUAUACACACUUAAGGCAAUCUAUUGAAAAAUUAUUUACCUUCUUGAUUUUCAAGAGCUUUUCGACCAAAACAUUAAAGAAUCUGUUGCUAUUUAUCUUCAGACUCUGAUACGGAAAAUGUUAAUUUAAUAUGGUAUAUCUACCAAUAUACCUUAAUUAAGAAAAGCAUAUCAGUUAGUGAUGCUGUUUUUGGAGGGCUCCGGCACAAAUGGUUUUAGAAAUUAAGCACUUAUCUAGGCCAAGGAAUGGGAGUAAAUUCUACACUACAGUGUUCAUCGGUAUCGGGGGCGGACCACGGCGCAAUGUCUGAGCCGGCCGAGCUGGUAUCACGCUGCAAAGUAUGGCGUACCGUGGUACAAGUACAGAAAUGGUAAUGAAGUGCGAAAGGACCUCUUGCCUCGGUAGAUGCAAGGAAUUUCCACCCAAAGCUAAUGGACAUACGUUUAGUAUCAGAUACUAGGAGACACCGUCAUUCCUCAACAUCCAGGACGGAGGAAAAUGUGCAAGUGGUUCAGAAAUCACAAAGACAUGCAUCUCGGGAAAGUGAUUUAACCCGACACAGAAUCCGAACUGGAAUCGUACCGGCAUGGAGGUUGAGCUCGCCACACAGGGUGGACGUUGCGGCGUGGUUCGCCACUAAUAGCUGCAUAAAUGAGAUAUCAUAUAAUAAAUUCUACCAUUGUAAGGAACAAAAUAUUUUUUGUCUCUUGCGAAUUCGUUAACUAUUUAAAAAGUAAUAAACAAUUUUCAAUAGGGA
rnacentral:lncRNA from 1 species